UCCGCCAUAGCUCAACGGUAGAGCGUCCGACUGUUAAUCGGUAGGUUCUAGGUUCGAAUCCUAGUGGCGGAG
rnacentral:tRNA from 2 species